UGGGGAAUAUUGGGCAAUGGGCGAAAGCCUGACCCAGCAACGCCGCGUGAAGGAAGAAGGUUUUCGGAUUGUAAACUUCUGUCCUCAGGGAAGAAGGAAGUGACGGUACCUGAGGAGGAAGCUCCGGCUAACUACGUGCCAGCAGCCGCGGUAAUACGUAGGGGGCAAGCGUUAUCCGGAUUUACUGGGUGUAAAGGGAGCGUAGGUGGUUCGGUAAGUCAGAUGUGAAAGCCCGGGGCUCAACCCCGGGACUGCAUUUGAAACUAUCGUACUAGGGUGCAGGAGAGGUAAGUGGAAUUCCUAGUGUAGCGGUGAAAUGCGUAGAUAUUAGGAGGAACACCAGUGGCGAAGGCGGCUUACUGGACUGUAACUGACACUGAGGCUCGAAAGCGUGGGGAGCAAACAGG
rnacentral:rRNA from 1 species